GGAUCUGGCUGGCCAUCGCUGUCCUGGACUGUCAAGGGGUCAGGGGUUCGAAUCCCCUCAGCUCCACCA
rnacentral:tRNA from 1 species